rnacentral:rRNA from 1 species
AUAUUGGACAAUGGGCGAAAGCCUGAUCCAGCCAUGCCGCGUGUGUGAAGAAGGUCUUCGGAUUGUAAAGCACUUUAAGUUGGGAGGAAGGGCAGUAAGUUAAUACCUUGCUGUUUUGACGUUACCGACAGAAUAAGCACCGGCUAACUUGUGCCAGCAGCCGCGGUAAUACGAAGGGUGCAAGCGUUAAUCGGAAUUACUGGGCGUAAAGCGCGCGUAGGUGGUUUGUUAAGUUGGAAGUGAAAGCCCCGGGCUCAACCUGGGAACUGCUUUCAAAACUGGCAAGCUAGAGUAUGGCAGAGGGUGGUGGAAUUUCCUGUGUAGCGGUGAAAUGCGUAGAUAUAGGAAGGAACACCAGUGGCGAAGGCGACC